ACGCACGCUGGCGGCGUGCUUCACACCUGCCAGUCGAACGGUGAAGCGCCUUCCUUUUUGGUGGGUGUGGAUGAGUGGCGAACGGGUGAGUAACACGUGAGUAACCUGCCCCCUUCUUCUGGAUAACCGCAUGAAAGUGUGGCUAAUACGGGAUAUUCUGGGUCUGUCGCAUGAUGGGUCUGGGAAAGAUAUUGUUUCGGUGGGGGAUGGGCUCGCGGCCUAUCAGCUUGUUGGUGGGGUGAUGGCCUACCAAGGCGGUGACGGGUAGCCGGCCUGAGAGGGUGGACGGUCACACUGGGACUGAGACACGGCCCAGACUCCUACGGGAGGCAGCAGUGGGGAAUAUUGCACAAUGGGCGCAAGCCUGAUGCAGCGACGCCGCGUGAGGGAUGGAGGCCUUCGGGUUGUGAACCUCUUUCGCCAGUGAAGCAGGCCUGCCUCGUUUGUGGGUGGGUUGACGGUAGCUGGAUAAGAAGCGCCGGCUAACUACGUG
rnacentral:rRNA from 1 species